GCAGCUGUUCGUCGCAAUGACUCAUCUUGUGCUUCUUCUCGGCGAGAUAGGCCGGCCGAGCGCAAGAGGCCCCCAGCCACCCCACCAAACAUUGUAACAUUUUGCUCGCCUCUCUUGCCUCUUUCU
ensembl:ncRNA F01G12.9 ncRNA